GUGUUUGCUUCAGCAGCAUAUAUAUAUAAAAUUGGAAAGAUACAGAGAAGAUUAGCAUAGCCCCUGUGAGAAGAUGACAUACAAAUCUGCGUAUGUAAUUGCUGUGGU
ensembl:snRNA U6 U6 spliceosomal RNA